GAUGAACGCUAGCUACAGGCUUAACACAUGCAAGUCGAGGGGAAACGACAUCGAAAGCUUGCUUUUGAUGUGCGUCGACCGGCGCACGGGUGAGUAACGCGUAUCCAACCUGCCCAUCACUUGGGAAUAACCUUGCGAAAGUAAGACUAAUACCUAAUGACAUCCCACGAAGACAUCUGAAUGGGAUUAAAGAUUUAUCGGUGAUGGAUGGGGAUGCGUCUGAUUAGCUUGUUGGCGGGGUAACGGCCCACCAAGGCAACGAUCAGUAGGGGUUCUGAGAGGAAGGUCCCCCACAUUGGAACUGCGACACGGUCCAAACUCCUACGGGAGGCAGCAGUGAGGAAUAUUGGUCAAUGGGCGAGAGCCUGAACCAGCCAAGUAGCGUGCAGGAUGACGGCCCUAUGGGUUGUAAACUGCUUUUAUAAGGGAAUAAAGUGGGUAUCGUGAGACUUUUUGCAUGUACCUUAUGAAUAAGGCCCGGCUAAUUCCGUG
rnacentral:rRNA from 1 species